UUGUCCCAAUUAAACAAGUCAUCGAAUCAAAGUAAACCAUAUAUCUCGAAGCAAAUACAUAACAGUGUCUAUUAACACCGUGAACCAUUUUUGAAUGGGCGAAUCAAUUCGCUUAAAACUAGACGCGUUUAAAAGAGUAAACAGAAAAACAUGUAAAGCAUAGGCCAAUAAAAAAUGUCGCGUCAAAUUCCAUCACUUCAGAGUAUUGCUCAAAAUUUCUAGUUAGACGUUUCGACUCACCUCAUGUUGACCGUGCCACUGAUAGAGAAGUUCCUGUUGGUUAUGCUAACAGCGAAAUGCGAAUUGCUUUUCUCGGUGCAGGAGUUUUUAAAGGCCAAGCAGAUUCUGCUAAUCAAACGCAAUUUACAACGGAAAGGCAUUUUUCUUAUCGAUAAAAAUCCUUAUCGGCUUGAUAAAAACACAAUGUUGUGAAUUUAUCCUAGACGUGGAAAGAACGAGGAUAUCACCAGAGAACAAAAAACUUACCACGAAAGGCGAACUACAACUGAACACAUUGCACCACUCUAGCGUUGUCGAGUUAUAGCAGGGGAAACCACGUGAUCCCGAUAAAAUGUGAUUCACCUUCAAAAGUAACCAACGAUCGAUUUGAUUCUGAUUUUGAUUCAAUAGGCCACGAAUUAUUAACGUGUUCAUUGUACAUAAGUUUAUGUAUAUAUGUCCUGUCCUAAGAGUUAUAAUAUAGUACCAUAAUACAACUUUUAUUUGAGUAACAAUGUUACUCAAUUAUUUACGUUAUUAAAAAUUAUUUAAUCAAUGAUAUUCAUUUUAUUUUAACUACUCUAAAAUAUUUAAUGCUGAUCGCCAGUGACCAUCAGGAUGUCAUGAUAAGCACGGUCCAGUGACCGUGCUUUAUAACUAUUAUGAUAAUCAACCUGUUAAGAUUUUAACCAUUACUUACUUAAAUUAUGCUUCUUCAAACUUUUAUAAUCGAGGUUUAUUCAGCUUACGUAAUAUCACUUGAGAUUAAAUGAUUACAUUACAUAAUUGGAAUAAUUCUUAAAUUUCUAUUAAUUUCUUAAAUGAUUAAAUUUUUCAAGGAAAUUACAUACAUGGGAACAGAUUUUUUAUUUCCAAAUAUAGGUCUUUUCAACAAAGUUUAUACAAGCUGUAUUACCUAGAAUGGUCUUGGUUUGGUUCUUGUAAAAGGAAACUCUUCGCGGUUGUGAUAUGGAUUAUAAGGAUCAUCCACAUAAUAGUGCGGUCUUUUC